rnacentral:rRNA from 2 species
GGACUACACGGGUAUCUAAUCCUGUUCGCUCCCCACGCUUUCGCGCCUCAGCGUCAGUAUUAUGCCAGGUGCCUGCCUUCGCCAUCGACGUUCCUUCCGAUCUCUACGCAUUUCACCGCUACACCGGAAAUUCCGACACCCUCUCAUAUACUCUAGUCAUACAGUUUGCGAUGCUCUUCCUAGGUUAAGCCCAGGGCUUUCACAUCACACACAUAUCACCGCCUACGCGCCCUUUACGCCCAGUAAUUCCGAUUAACGCUCGCACCCUCUGUAUUACCGCGGCUGCUGGCAC